CACGCUUGCUGUGAGGUGAUUAGGAGAGAUUUUAAUGCUGUGUCCUUGAAGAACCUCCUUUCUUAACCUUUUCUUAACUCUGUUCUUAACUGCUUCCUCAGUCAGUGGGGCUCCCUUUGAAUGAAAUUGGUGGGUCUAGGCCUCAAAAAGGAGCUCAGCACCAAGUGCUUGUCCCAUGCAACACAGGGUGACCAGCGCUCUGUUAUGGAGCUACAUGUCAAAAGUAAGAGUACAGUAAGAGUCUCCCUAUUCAUCCUUGGUCUCCUUUCCUCCAGUAUCUCCUCACUCACAAAUCCCUUGUUGGUCUUUGUAUUUUUUCUGGCUGUAUUUCCUGCUCUCUUACCGUCAUUCGCAGUUACUCAUUGAGCUCUGAGUACACAUGGAGGAGGACAGAGCUGUGGAGUGUGUCACUGACAGAACGGUGUUUACUCAUCCUAAUAGAUGCAUGUGUGUGAUUGAUCAGAGGCUGGCCACCCAGCUGUAGACAUUUUCAUUCCACGGGGGUCCCUCACUUGAAUUUUAAUCUCAUAGCGUCACUGAGGUUGGAAAAGAGCUCUAAAGUCAUCAAGUCAAACCACCAACCCAUCUCUACCGUGCCCACUAAACUACGUCCCUCAGACUUCUCUCCAUCUGUGCCCAGGCGUGGUGAAGCUGGACACUUACAAGCUGUUUCUGAAGGUGGGAUUUUCUUGCUGUCAAAAUUUGCACAUUUAGUUUGUUUUGACCUGGUACUCGUAUAACUAUAGAUGUUUAUUUGUAGCAGAUUGUUCAGGUUAAGAAAACACAAUGAUUUCAGGUCACGGAAGAUCUACUCUUGGUUUCUUUCACAGUGAUGAUGCUUAUUUGAGUAGCUUAGGCUAAGGAUUAUGGAGGAGCUAAAAAGUUUGGCAUCUUCUGAGAAAUGCACUGAAAUGAACCUCCAUACUGAAUUCCCUAUGAAAUUCUCUGCAAUACAAAGCUGGGUUGAACGGUCAUCUUCAGUAUAACCCAAAACAUAGAGAUUUGUUCUAAUGUUGAGAAGAAGCUGGAGGUGGGAAGGGG
rnacentral:lncRNA from 1 species